rnacentral:rRNA from 1 species
CCCUUAGAUGUUCGGGGCCGCACGCGCGCUACACUGAAGGAAUCAGCACGUCUUUCUCCUUGUCCGAGAGGACUGGGUAACCCGCUGAACCUCCUUCGUGCUAGGGAUUGGGGCUUGUAAUUCUUCCCCAUGAACGAGGAAUUCCCAGUAAGCGCGAGUCAUAAGCUCGCGUUGAUUACGUCCCUGCCCUUUGUACACACCGCCCGUCGCUACUACCGAUUGGAUGGUUUAGUGAGAUCCUCGGAUUGGUCCCGGCGCGGCCUCUGGUCGUGCCGGAGUGCCGAAAAGAAUGUCGAACUUGAUCAUCUAGAGGAAGUAAAAGUCGUAACA